UGGUUUCCACCAUAAAUGUAUUGUUUACUGAGUGUGCUGGUGGUCUCCAACAUACAUGUAUUGUUUACUGAGUGUGCUGGUGGUCUCCAACAUAAAUGUAUUGUUUACAGACUGUGUUGGUGGUCUCCACCAUAAAUGUAUUGUUUACUGAGUGUCCUGGUGGUCUCCACCAUAAAUGUAUUGUUUACUGAGUGUGCUGGUUGUCUCCACCAUAAAUGUAUUGUUUACUGAGUAUGCUGGUGGUCUCCAACAUAAAUGUAUUGUUUACAGACUGUGCUGGUGGUCUCCACCUUAAAUGUAUUGUUUACUGAGUGUGCUAGUGGCCUCCACCUUAAAUGUAUUGUUUACUGAGUGUGCUGGUGGUCUCCAACAUAAAUGUAUUGUUUACUGAGUGUGCUGGUGGUCUCGAACAUAAAUGUAUUGUUUACUGAGUGUGCUGGUGGUCUCCACCAUAAAUGUUUUGUUCACGGAGUGUGUUGGUGGCCUCCACGAAAAAAUUUAUUGUUUACUGAAUGUGCUGGUGGUCUCCACCAUAACUGUAUUGUUUACUGAGUGUGCUGGUGGUCUCCACCAUAAAUGUAUUGUUUACUGAAUGUGCUGGUGGUCUCCACCAUAAAUGUAUUGUUUACUGAGUGUGCUGGUGGCCUCCAACAUAAAUGUAUUGUUUACUGAGUGUGCUGGUGGUCUCCACCAUAAAUGUAUUGUUUACGGAGUGUGUUGGUGGUCUCCAACAUAAAUGUAUUGUUUACUGAGUGUGCUGGUGGUCUCCAACAUAAAUGUAUUGUUUACUGAAUGUGCUGGUGGUCUCCACCAUAAAUGUAUUGUUUACUGAGUAAGCUGGUUGUCUCGAACAUGAAUGUAUUGUUUACUGAGUGUGCUGGUGGUCUCCACCAUAACUGUAUUGUUUUCUGAAUGUGCUGGUGGUUUCCACCAUAAAUGUAUUGUUUACUGAGUGUGUUGGUGGUCUCCAACAUAAAUGUAUUGUUUACUGAGUGUGCAGGUGGUCUCCAACAUAAAUGUAUUGUUUACUGAAUGUGCUGGUGGUCUCCACCAUAAAUGUAUUGUUUACUGAGUAAGCUGGUUGUCUCGAACAUGAAUGUAUUGUUUACUGAGUGUGCUGGUGGUCUCCACCAUAACUGUAUUGUUUUCUGAAUGUGCUGGUGGUUUCCACCAUAAAUGUAUUGUUUACUGAGUGUGCUGGUGGCCUCCAACAUACAUGUAUUGUUUACUGAGUGUGCUGGUGGUCUCCAACAUAAAUGUAUUGUUUACAGACUGUGUUGGUGGUCUCCACCAUAAAUGUAUUGUUUACGGAGUGUGUUGGUGGUCUCCAACAUAAAUGUAUUGUUUACUGAGUGUGCUGGUGGUCUCCAACAUAAAUGUAUUGUUUACUGAGUGUGCUGGUGGUCUCCACCAUAAAUGUAUUGUUUACGGGGUGUGUUGGUGGUCUCCAACAUAAAUGUAUUGUUUACUGAGUGUGCUGGUGGUCUCCAACAUAAAUGUAUUGUUUACUGAAUGUGCUGGUGGACUCCACCAUAAAUGUAUUGUUUACUGAGUAAGCUGGUUGUCUCGAACAUGAAUGUAUUGUUUACUGAGUGUGCUGGUGGUCUCCACCAUAACUGUAUUGUUUUCUGAAUGUGCUGGUGGUUUCCACCAUAAAUGUAUUGUUUACUGAGUGUGCUGGUGGUCUCCAACAUACAUGUAUUGUUUACUGAGUGUGCUGGUGGUCUCCAACAUAAAUGUAUUGUUUACAGACUGUGUUGGUGGUCUCCACCAUAAAUGUAUUGUUUACUGAGUGUCCUGGUGGUCUCCACCAUGAAUGUAUUGUUUACUGAGUGUGCUGGUUGUCUCCACCAUAAAUGUAUUGUUUACUGAGUAUGCUGGUGGUCUCCAACAUAAAUGUAUUGUUUACAGACUGUGCUGGUGGUCUCCACCUUAAAUGUAUUGUUUACUGAGUGUGCUAGUGGCCUCCACCUUAAAUGUAUUGUUUACUGAGUGUGCUGGUGGUCUCCAACAUAAAUGUAUUGUUUACUGAGUGUGCUGGUGGUCUCGAACAUAAAUGUAUUGUUUACUGAGUGUGCUGGUGGUCUCCACCAUAAAUGUUUUGUUUACGGAGUGUGUUGGUGGCCUCCACGAAAAAAUGUAUUGUUUACUGAAUGUGCUGGUGGUCUCCACCAUAACUGUAUUGUUUACUGAGUGUGCUGGUGGUCUCCACCAUAAAUGUAUUGUUUACUGAAUGUGCUGGUGGUCUCCACCAUAAAUGUAUUGUUUACUGAGUGUGCUGGUGGCCUCCAACAUAAAUGUAUUGUUUACUGAGUGUGCUGGUGGUCUCCACCAUAAAUGUAUUGUUUACAGAGUGUGUUGGUGGUCUCCAACAUAAAUGUAUUGUUUACUGAGUGUGCUGGUGGUCUCCAACAUAAAUGUAUUGUUUACUGAAUGUGCUGGUGGUCUCCACCAUAAAUGUAUUGUUUACUGAGUAAGCUGGUUGUCUCGAACAUGAAUGUAUUGUUUACUGAGUGUGCUGGUGGUCUCCACCAUAACUGUAUUGUUUACUGAGUAAGCUGGUUGUCUCGAACAUGAAUGUAUUGUUUACUGAGUGUGCUGGUGGUCUCCACCAUAACUGUGUUGUUUUCUGAAUGUGCUGGUGGUUUCCACCAUAAAUGUAUUGUUUACUGAGUGUGCUGGUGGUCUCCAACAUACAUGUAUUGUUUACUGAGUGUGCUGGUGGUCUCCAACAUAAAUGUAUUGUUUACAGACUGUGUUGGUGGUCUCCACCAUAAAUGUAUUGUUUACUGAGUGUCCUGGUGGUCUCCACCAUAAAUGUAUUGUUUACUGAGUGUGCUGGUUGUCUCCACCAUAAAUGUAUUGUUUACUGAGUAUGCUGGUGGUCUCCAACAUAAAUGUAUUGUUUACUGAGUGUGCUGGUGGUCUCGAACAUAAAUUUAUUGUUUACUGAGUGUGCUGGUGGUCUCAACCAUAAAUGUUUUGUUUACGGAGUGUGUUGGUGGCCUCCACGAAAAAAUGUAUUGUUUACUGAGUGUGCUGGUGGUCUCCACCAUAUCUUUAUUGUUUACUGAGUGUGCUGGUGGUCUCCACCAUAAAUGUAUUGUUUACUGAAUGUGCUGGUGGUCUCCACCAUAAAUGUAUUGUUUACUGAGUGUGCUGGUGGUCUCCAACAUAAAUGUAUUGUUUACUGAAUGUGCUGGUGGUCUCCACCAUAAAUGUAUUGUUUACUGAGUAAGCUGGUUGUCUCGACCAUGAAUGUAUUGUUUACUGAGUGUGCUGGUGGUCUCCACCAUAAAUGUAUUGUUUACUGAGUAAGCUGGUUGUCUCGAACAUGAAUGUAUUGUUUACUGGCUGUGCUGGUGGUCUCCACCAUAACUGUAUUGUUUACUGAGUAAGCUGGUUGUCUCGAACAUGAAUGUAUUGUUUACUGAGUGUGCUGGUGGUCUCCACCAUAAUUGUAUUGUUUUCUGAAUGUGCUGGUGGUUUCCACCAUAAAUGUAUUGUUUACUGAGUGUGCUGGUGGCCUCCAACAUACAUGUAUUGUUUACUGAGUGUGCUGGUGGUCUCCAACAUAAAUGUAUUGUUUACAGACUGUGUUGGUGGUCUCCACCAUAAAUGUAUUGUUUACGGAGUGUGUUGGUGGUCUCCAUCAUAAAUGUAUUGUUUUCUGAGUGUGCUGGUGGUCUCCAACAUAAAUGUAUUGUUUACUGAGUGUGCUGGUGGUCUCCACCAUAAAUGUAUUGUUUACAGAGUGUGUUGGUGGUCUCCAACAUAAAUGUAUUGUUUACUGAGUGCGCUGGUGGUCUCCAACAUAAAUGUAUUGUUUACUGAAUGUGCUGGUGGUCUCCACCAUAAAUGUAUUGUUUACUGAGUAAGCUGGUUGUCUCGAACAUGAAUGUAUUGUUUACUGAGUGUGCUGGUGGUCUCCACCAUAACUCUAUUGUUUUCUGAAUGUGCUGGUGGUUUCCACCAUAAAUGUAUUGUUUACUGAGUGUGCUGGUGGUCUCCAACAUACAUGUAUUGUUUACUGAGUGUGCUGGUGGUCUCCAACAUAAAUGUAUUGUUUACAGACUGUGUUGGUGGUCUCCACCAUAAAUGUAUUGUUUACUGAGUGUCCUGGUGGUCUCCACCAUAAAUGUAUUGUUUACUGAGUGUGCUGGUUGUCUCCACCAUAAAUGUAUUGUUUACUGAGUAUGCUGGUGGUCUCCAACAUAAAUGUAUUGUUUACAGACUGUGCUGGUGGUCUCCACCUUAAAUGUAUUGUUUACUGAGUGUGCUAGUGGCCUCCACCUUAAAUGUAUUGUUUACUGAGUGUGCUGGUGGUCUCCAACAUAAAUGUAUUGUUUACUGAGUGUGCUGGUGGUCUCGAACAUAAAUGUAUUGUUUACUGAGUGUGCUGGUGGUCUCAACCAUAAAUGUUUUGUUUACUGAGUGUGCUGGUGGUCUCCAACAUAAAUGUAUUGUUUACUGAGUGUGCUGGUGGUCUCCAACAUAAAUGUAUUGUUUACUGAAUGUGCUGGUGGUCUCCACCAUAAAUGUAUUGUUUACUGAGUAAGCUGGUUGUCUCAAACAUGAAUGUAUUGUUUACUGAGUGUGCUGGUGGUCUCCACCAUAACUGUAUUGUUUUCUGAAUGUGCUGGUGGUUUCCACCAUAAAUGUAUUGUUUACUGAGUGUGCUGGUGGCCUCCAACAUACAUGUAUUGUUUACUGAGUGUGCUGGUGGUCUCCAACAUAAAUGUAUUGUUUACUGAGUGUCCUGGUGGUUUCCAACAUAAAUGUAUUGUUUACUGAGUGUGCUGGUGGUCUCCACCAUAAAUGGAUUGUUUUCUGAGUAUGCUGGUGGUCUCCACCAUAAAUUUAUUUUUUACUGAGUGUGCUGGUAGUCUCCACCAUAAAUGUAUUGUUUACUGAGUGUGUUGGUGGUCUCCACUGAAAAAAUGUAUUGUUUACUGAGUGUGUCGGUGGUCUCCACAAUAAAUGUGUAAUUGGACUUAA